rnacentral:rRNA from 1 species
GACGAACGCUGGCGGCGUGCUUAACACAUGCAAGUCGAACGGAAAGGCCCUGCUUUUGUGGGGUGCUCGAGUGGCGAACGGGUGAGUAACACGUGAGUAACCUGCCCUUGACUUUGGGAUAACUUCAGGAAACUGGGGCUAAUACCGGAUAGGAGCUCCUGCUGCAUGGUGGGGGUUGGAAAUUUGCGGCGGUUGGGGAUGGACUCGCGGCUUAUCAGCUUGUUGGUGGGGUAGUGGCUUACCAAGGCUUUGCCGGGUAGCCGGCCUGAGAGGGUGACCGGCCACAUUGGGACUGAGAUACGGCCCAGACUAGUACGGGAGGCAGCAGUGGGGAAUGUUGCACAAUGGGCGGAAGCCUGAUGCAGCAACGCCGCGUGCGGGAAGACGGCCUUCGGGUUGUAAACCGAUUUCGCCUGUGCCGAAGCGUGAGUGACGGUAAUGGGUAAAGAAGCACCGGCUAACUACGUG